GAUUAGAGUUUGAUCCUGGCUCAGAACGAACGCUGGCGGCAGGCUUAACACAUGCAAGUCGAACGCCCCGCAAGGGGAGUGGCAGACGGGUGAGUAACGCGUGGGAAUCUACCUAGUUCUACGGAACAACAGAGGGAAACUUCUGCUAAUACCGUAUACGCCCUAAGGGGGAAAGAUUUAUCGGAAUUAGAUGAGCCCGCGUAAGAUUAGCUAGUUGGUGGGGUAAUGGCCUACCAAGGCGACGAUCUUUAGCUGGUCUGAGAGGAUGAUCAGCCACACUGGGACUGAGACACGGCCCAGACUCCUACGGGAGGCAGCAGUGGGGAAUAUUGGACAAUGGGCGCAAGCCUGAUCCAGCCAUGCCGCGUGAGUGAUGAAGGCCUUAGGGUUGUAAAGCUCUUUCAGUGGGGACGAUAAUGACGGUACCCACAGAAGAAGCCCCGGCUAACUUCGUGCCAGCAGCCGCGGUAAUACGAAGGGGGCUAGCGUUGUUCGGAUUUACUGGGCGUAAAGCGCACGUAGGCGGAUCGUUAAGUCGGGGGUGAAAUCCUGGAGCUCAACUCCAGAACUGCCUUCGAUACUGGCGAUCUUGAGUCCGGAAGAGGUGAGUGGAACUCCUAGUGUAGAGGUGGAAUUCGUAGAUAUUAGGAAGAACACCAGUGGCGAAGGCGGCUCACUGGUCCGGUACUGACGCUGAGGUGCGAAAGCGUGGGGAGCAAACAGGAUUAGAUACCUGGUAGUCCACGCCGUAACUAUGAGAGCUAGCCGUUGGGAUUUAUUCAGUGGCGCAGCAUUAAGCUCUUACGGUCGCAAGAUUAAAACUCAAA
rnacentral:rRNA from 1 species